AUGCUCACUUUAGCAGCACAUACUCUAAAACUGGAAUGAUACAGAGAAGAUUACCAUGUUCCCUGAGCAGGGAAGACAGGCAAAUUUGUGAAGUGUUCCUUAUUUUC